AGUGAACGCUGGCGGUAGGCCUAACACAUGCAAGUCGAACGGCAGCACAGUAAGAGCUUGCUCUUACGGGUGGCGAGUGGCGGACGGGUGAGGAAUACAUCGGAAUCUACUUUUUCGUGGGGGAUAACGUAGGGAAACUUACGCUAAUACCGCAUACGACCUACGGGUGAAAGCAGGGGAUCUUCGGACCUUGCGCGAUUGAAUGAGCCGAUGUCGGAUUAGCUAGUUGGCGGGGUAAAGGCCCACCAAGGCGACGAUCCGUAGCUGGUCUGAGAGGAUGAUCAGCCACACUGGAACUGAGACACGGUCCAGACUCCUACGGGAGGCAGCAGUGGGGAAUAUUGGACAAAGGGCGCAAGCCUUAUCCAGCCAUACCGCGUGGGUGAAGAAGGCCUUCGGGUUGUAAAGCCCUUUUGUUGGGAAAGAAAAGCAGCAGGUUAAUACCCCGCUGUUCUGACGGUACCCAAAGAAUAAGCACCGGCUAACUUCGUG
rnacentral:rRNA from 1 species